ACACACACAUGUGAGCAUGGGUGAAGAGCGAGCGCGCGUCAAGUCGCACGGUUCGACCUCUAGUAUCAACCAACGGAUGUAUCCACCACAGCAUAUAAGGUUAUCACCAAUUGCACGGGGACUUCCACCGGUUGGCUCGGGUCGAGUAACACUUGCGGCCCAACGCGCUCGUAUCUUUCCUCGCAUCCAGUUGCAGUCGCGAGACGUGCUCACGCCGUGUGGGUGAGUGAGGUUAGCACGACAGGGGUGAUUUAUCACCGCUUCUCCCGUCG
rnacentral:rRNA from 1 species